rnacentral:pre_miRNA from 1 species
GAGACACCCUUCUGGGGCAAGACUUGCUUCAGUGGGGCUUUGGUGCUCAUUGAGUCUGCCCCCUGAUGUGUCCCU